UUGUGGAGGAGGACGCCGAAGGUGGGGCUAAUGACUGGGGUGAAGUCGUAACAAGGUAGCCGUACCGGAAGGUGCGGCUGGAUCACCUCCUAACAGGGAGACAACAAAAUGUUAAAUAUUAAUUUUGUCACCUUAGGUCGAUCGGUAUCUCACAUUCUUAAUUCAUUUAAGAAUUUUAUUUCCUAAGUUUUUCUAGGUCACACCCAUUAUUUUUCCUGGGCCAUUAGCUCAGGUGGUUAGAGCGCACCCCUGAUAAGGGUGAGGUCCCUGGUUCAAGUCCAGGAUGGCCCAUAUCUCUAUGUUGGGGGUAUAGCUCAGUUGGUAGAGCGCCUGCUUUGCAAGCAGGAUGUCAGCGGUUCGAGUCCGCUUACCUCCACUGAUUACCACCUCUUCCAUAAUUUUAUAGAAGGAAAAUUUUGAGUUGUGAUCUAAUUCUGAACGAAUCUAGCUUCCUAAUUAAACUUAUUAAGAUGCUGGACUCAUUGAAUUAAUUUCAUUGUUUUCAGAGAACCUUGACAACUGCAUAGAUUAUUUUUAAAGACAAUAAGCAUCUUUAAUGAUGCAGAUUUAUUAUUUGUGCGAAUGCAUUAAUAACAAUUCUAUUAAGCUGAUGCUUCAAUUAUGAAGUUAUUGGUCAAGCUACAA
rnacentral:misc_RNA from 1 species